UUGAGGUGGAGGCGGGACAUAGAAGGUGUACUACCUCCUUGGUGUGUGUGUAGAAAGACACAGCGAGGUCCAGCAGCAGCUUCCUCUGUUCAACUCUCUGAAUGAACGCCUGCACACACACACACACACACAAUGAGAACACUUCCUGUAGCUGUCCUUCAGAAUAAAAGCCCCCCUGGUAUUUGUUCACCUGCAUGCGGAGCUCCAGGUCUCUGGCCGCCUGGUAGAUCUCUUCCUCCUUACACUCUCCAGACUGAGCCAGCUGAUCGGCUGCUUCCAGAAGCUUCUCUGCAUUAGUGUAGGUGUUCUGUGACACACACACAUCAGUUCGUGCAGGUCUGGGUAGCGUUCAGGUAGUCCGGGUCUAGGUGGGGUUCAGGUAGUCCAGGUCUGGGUAGCGUUCAGGUAGUCCGGUCUAGGUGGGGUUCAGGUAGUCCAGGUCUGGGUAGCGUUCAGGUAGUCCGGUCUAGGUGGGGUUCAGGUAGUCCAGGUCUAGGUAGGGUUCAGGUAGUCCAGGUCUGGGUAGCGUUCAGGUAGUCCAGGUCUAGGUAUCAUUCAGGUAGUCCAGGUCUAGGUAUCAUUCAGGUAGUCCAGGUCUAGGUGGUGUGUAGGUAGUCCAGGUCUGGGUAGCAUCCAGGUAGUCCGGGUCUAGGUAGGGUUCAGGUAGUCCAGGUCUAGGUAUCAUUCAGGUAGUCCAGGUCUGGGUAGCGUUCAGGUAGUCCGGGUCUCGGUGGGGUUCAGGUAGUCCAGGUCUAGGUAGCAUUCAGGUAGUCCGGGUCUAGGUAGGGUUCAGGUAGUCCAGGUCUAGGUAGCGUCCGGUAGUACAGGUCUAGGUUGGGUUCAGGUAGUCCAGGUCUAGGUGGUGUUCAGGUAGUCCAGGUCUAGGUGGGGUUCAGGUAGUCCAGGUCUAGGUGGGGUUCAGGUAGUCCAGGUCUAGGUGGGGUUCAGGUAGUCCAGGUCUAGGUGGGGUUCAGGUAGUCCGGGGCUAGUUAGUCCACGUCUAGUUGGGGUUUACCUGUGCAACCUGCUGGAAGUCGUCAUGGCGUUUCUGCAGCGCUCGUGCCCGGUGAAGAGACUUCCCCACGCCACUGUGUUUGUUCAGGAAAACCUCCCCGUGCUGCUCCACCCAGUCCAACACCUGAGACCGGUGGAGAAAGAGAGAGACAGGUGGGGCAACUGGCCUCUGAAUACAAGGUGUAGAGUCUGGAUAUGGAUCCGUCGUACCUGUCUGACAUCUUGCUGAAAAACACACAGUUGCAGGCGCUGAUGGAGGCGGAGUUUACGGUGCUGCCACACCCCCUCCACCUCUUGGUGACCCUGCAGAUGACAAAAAGCUCACGUGAGUCCACCUGCCUGUCUGCUGGUCACAUGUGAGACACAUCACCACGAGCCGUACCUGCAUGACCUGGUGCAGAGCUCCCAUGAUGCCGUGCGUGGCGUUGGCGAGAUCCGGCCUGGUUGUGGGGUUGUCGGAGUCGGUUGCUGGGCAACGCUGGAGUACGUCCAUUAAGGCCUUACCGCUCUCACUAACCUGCACGCAAAGAAAGAGACAGGUAUGCAGACAGACAGGUGUUGAUAGAGACAGGUACCUGUGUGUAGUUAGCAGAGAUCUCCUCGUUCAGCUCCUGAUGUUUCUUCGUCGCGGCCUCCAGCUCUGUUGCCGCCGAGGGCAACGCCCCCUCAGAGCACACCUGGACCCAGCCCUCCAAUCUGAGCAGGAACUGGACAGAGAGGCAGACGGGUGAGUGGGGAUACCCAGGCGGGUCGUGGCAUGACAGACAGGUAUAAAGGUUAGAGGUGAGACAGGUAGACACGGGCAUGAGACAGGUGCCUCGCUGUUGCGUAAUAACCUGCUCGGCCCCCUGGUGGAAGCUAGUUGCCAUGGCGAGCGUGUUGCUGCGCUCUUCCAGCGCCG
ensembl:lncRNA